rnacentral:lncRNA from 1 species
GGGCCCUCUGCCUUACAGGAAGAACAAUGUUCAGAGAGCUCAGCUUUCUGCUGGGCUCACCCUCACCUAAUCCUCAUGUUCCUCUUCCUUCAGCCCAUGAGAAUGUGGCACAUUUCUGACUGAACCCAGGUGCUACCUCUCUUCCCUUCUGUCUGCUCCUGAAGACUGCUCUGCCAAAAGACUUAAGAAAGAAAGGACUGACAAAUCACCACAGAGCUGCAGACCAGCAACGAAGGGAGCUGAGGGCAAUUUGACCAACAUCAUCUGUGUCGGUUCCCCAGAUGUCAAUGAAACACGUAAUCGGGUCUCCAAGACCACAAGCCUCAGAAGAUCACUGUGGAAGAAACACACUGGGCCAACCCAUCCUGUUGAUAUGACACAAAGUGCAGCCCAGUUUGGUAUUCUUUAAACUCUGAAGGAGUCUCACACCAGAAAGAAGUCUGGGAAACUACCAGCUCCUUGCAGAAAGACUGAAACAUGAUGGGCAGAGAAGGGUGUUGGUGUCGGUAAGAGAAAAAUGAUUGAAGUUGCAUCAUCUGUAUGAUUAAAAUCACUGUGUGAAUUUUGAUUUUCCCCCCCACUACUUUCAGACAUUUGAGGAUGCAGUCAAGUCAAUGGAGUUCUGUUGUAGUGGUUGCUUCAGUGAACAUUCAACGCUGUCGGUGAGUUUGGAAUUAAAGUGAAAACCAUCGACCGUUGAUUGUACCCUCCAGCUAACCAUCCUCCUCCUUACUUCAUGCUUUCAGGCCUUAACACCGAAGAUAGCAACCUAACCAUCAUAUGAUGUUUCUCCCUCACCCUGCCAAGCUUUACAAAAAGGUCACAAUCAACAUUCAUUGCUGUCGGUGGGUUUAACUAUGUGGACAAGCUCACUGAACAAUGAAUGCAACUGUGGCCUCACAUUGUACAGUUGCCGUUGAGAGGAGUAGCAGCUCUGAAGGCAAUAGUGAGAAGCAAACACUUCUUUUAAGCUACAGUUUUCUGCUCAGAAAAAUAGUUGGGGGUGUCCAGUUUUUGCUUGUUUGGUUUUGAGUGCAUUUAACUUAGCUGACUGGAAAAGAAAACCCACUGUGUUUUUCUUGGGUAUUGUCCUCACCAGGUCCAGUGCCACUGAAAAUGUGAAAGUUCUUAUUUAGUAUGUGUGCAGAAAAAAUAACAGGACAGGACACUCAGUAUAUCCACUCCUAAGGCCUCUAACAUAAGAGAAAAGAAUAUUUAGUUGUCAUUUAACUGGGCAUUGUUGAAGAGUUCAAAAGUUUAUUCUAUACUUGUCAUGACAUAUACAGCUGGGAACAAAUGGGAUUUAAGAGUUACGGAUAAAAACGUUAUGUCAAAAAAUAUUAAUUAAUUUUACAUGAAACUGAUUUUAAGAACACAAAUACUAUUGCAUUUGCUAUUUUUGGGGAUCUGAAAGAUGGCAGAGAAAUGUAUAUCCAGAAAUAAUAAUGGAAAAGAGUUAAAUUGUAAAGUUGUUGAAUUGUAAACCGAGUACCUAUGUCACGCUCUGAGUUUUGCAAUAAGAAAAUAAAAUGUAAAUAAGCUCACA